rnacentral:rRNA from 1 species
GAUCCUGGCUCAGGACGAACGCUGGCGGCGUGCUUAACACAUGCAAGUCGAACGAGAAGAGAUGAGAAGCUUGCUUCUUAUUGAUUCGAGUGGCAAACGGGUGAGUAACGCGUAAGCAACCUGCCCUUCAGAUGGGGACAACAGCUGGAAACGGCUGCUAAUACCGAAUACGUUCUUUUUGUCGCAUGGCAGAGGGAAGAAAGGGAGGCUCUUCGGAGCUUUCGCUGAAGGAGGGGCUUGCG